rnacentral:rRNA from 2 species
GUGGGGAAUAUUGCACAAUGGGCGCAAGCCUGAUGCAGCGACGCCGCGUGGGGGAUGACGGCCUUCGGGUUGUAAACUCCUUUCGCUAGGGACGAAGCUUUUUGUGACGGUACCUAGAUAAGAAGCACCGGCUAACUACGUGCCAGCAGCCGCGGUAAUACGUAGGGUGCGAGCGUUGUCCGGAAUUACUGGGCGUAAAGGGCUCGUAGGUGGUUUGUCGCGUCGUCUGUGAAAUUCCGGGGCUUAACUCCGGGCGUGCAGGCGAUACGGGCAUAACUUGAGUACUGUAGGGGUAACUGGAAUUCCUGGUGUAGCGGUGAAAUGCGCAGAUAUCAGGAGGAACACCGAUGGCGAAGGCAGGUUACUGGGCAGUUACUGACGCUGAGGAGCGAAAGCAUGGGUAGCGAACAGG